GCGGGCGACUCAUAGGCAUUGGCUUGGUUAAGGGAACCCACCAGAAUCGUAGUGAAAACGAGUCUUCAUAAGAAAAUUGUCGUGCUUAUGGACUCAAACCAGGUGAUCUAUCCACAAUCAGGAUGAAGCUUGGGUGAAACCAAAUGGAGGUCCAAACCAACUGAUGUUGAAGAAUCAACAAAUGAGUUGUGGUUAGGGGUGAAACGACACUCGAACUCAAAGCAAACUGG
rnacentral:rRNA from 1 species